rnacentral:lncRNA from 1 species
GUACCUGAUGCUCCUCGAGCUCCUGCACUAGCACCUGAGCAAAAGGGAAACACAGAUAUGAGGAGCAGCUCGGGCCAUCAACCCAUUCCUCCCUCCACACUUAAAGCCCAGCCGCUGACCGUUUGACUAGUCAAGGCCGGCCUUUCCCUCACCCUCAACGGAACUGCUCGUCCCGCUGCCUCGAUUUCCCCACUGGGACCAUUCACCACGACUCCCAGAUCUCUUUCUUCCCCUUACCUGAGCGGAUUUGUUGCAGGGUCCAGACUGCAAGAACCUAGCGAUCAGCUGAGAUCCAGACCUUCUUAGAGAGAACACAGCCAGUGGAGAGUCACUCUAUGGCAGGAAAUAUUCUGUAUUGCCUUACAGGCAGAACUUGCUGAAACUCCAACCUCUGGAAAUUACUGGAACCCUGCAUUCUAGAACUUGCUGGAAACCCACCCUCUGGAAUUGGCCUGCUAGAGUGCCUGAGAAGGAUGUUCAUAGGGAAAUGUUUCAGCAGAGGAACUCUACUACAAAAACCACAAGAGGGAGGGUGCCAGGGGAAGUGGCCUGGUGCUAUUGAAACUGCAACACAGAAGCCAGCCACUGGAGAGAGCUGCACAAGCUGCAGGAACACCCUACCCAGUAAGCCGGCCAGAAGGAGGGAGCAAAACCUUUUCUCUCUGCAACAUCUUUCCAGUUUCCUCUACUGGAAAAGCUUCAUUGCCAGCUGACAAAAGGAAAAAUACUUAAAUGGAUCAGAUCCAUUUUCACAGAGCAGUCAAUAAUGGUGAAUUUGGAGAUGAU